CCCAAACGACAGGGGAGCGCCACCGAGGCGCUGAGAGUGCUAAGCAGACCCUCGAACCUGAUCCGGUUAGUACCGGCGUAGGGAGUCGAAUUUCUUCUCAA
rfam:Rothia mucilaginosa DY-18 DNA, complete genome.